rnacentral:rRNA from 2 species
UCGCCUGUUUAUCAAAAACAUCUCUAAAUGAAUUUAUUUUUAGUAAGACCUGCACAAUGAACCUUUAAAUUGCCGCAUUUUAUGUGCUAAGGUAGCAUAAUCAUUUGCCUUUUAAUUAAAGGCUAGUAUGAACGGUUGUUCAUGAGGAUUUCUUUAUUAAUUCUAUUACUUCAAUUUUUUCUAUAAGUAAAAAAACUUAUAUUUUAUAAGAGGGACGACAAGACCCUAUCGAGCUUUACUUUUGUUGAACUGGGGCGGUAAAAAACUAAAUCUUUUUUAAUUUUCCUUAAAAUAUCCUUUUUAUAAGAUUAUUAAGUUACCGUAGGGAUAACAGCAUAAUCUUCUUUUAUAGUUCUUAUUGAAAAGAAAGUUUGUGACCUCGAUGUUGAAUUAUUAAUCUUUUUGAAGCAAAAUUUAAAAAAGAAAGUCUGUUCGACUUUUAAAAUUUUACGUGAUCUGAGUUC